ACCUCCGAGUUGUAAUUUGGAGAGGCAUCUUCGGGGAGGAGCGCCGGCCCAUGUUCCUUGGAACAGGACGUCGCAGAGGGUGAGAAUCCCGUGCCAGGCCGGCUGCCUCCUCCAUUGUGAAGUGCCUUCGACGAGUCGAGUUGUUUGGGAAUGCAGCUCCAAGUGGGUGGUAAAUUUCAUCUAAAGCUAAAUACCGGCGGGAGACCGAUAGCGCACAAGUAGAGUGAUCGAAAGAUGAAAAGCACUUUGAAAAUAGAGUCAAAAAGUACGUGAAAUUGUUGAAAGGGAAGCGCUUGAGACCAGACUCGGGCCCGGGCAAACAUCGCGCCCCUCGGGGCCGUGCAAUUGCCUGGGGCCGGGCCAGCAUCAGUUGGCGCGGCGGGACAAAGGCGCGGGGAAUGUGGCUCCCCUCGGGGAGUGUUAUUAGCCCCGCGCUCAAUGCCGCCGACGUCGACUGAGGACAGCGCCUCGGCCUGGAUGCUGGCUUAAUGGCCUUCAGCGACCCGUCUUGAAACACGGA
rnacentral:rRNA from 1 species